rnacentral:rRNA from 1 species
UACGUAGGGGGCAAGCGUUGUCCGGAUUUAUUGGGCGUAAAGAGCGUGUAGGCGGCCAGACAGGUCCGUUGUGAAAACUCGAGGCUCAACCUCGAGAUGUCGAUGGAAACCGUCUGGCUAGAGUCCGGAAGAGGAGUGUGGAAUUCCUGGUGUAGCGGUGGAAUGCGCAGAUAUCAGGAGGAACACCAAUAGCGAAGGCAGCUCGCUGGGACGGUACUGACGCUAAGGCGCGAAAGCGUGGGGAGCGAACAGG